AGGGUUUGAUCCUGGCUCAGAUCGAACGCUGGCGGCGUGGCUAAAACAUGCAAGUCGGACGUCGAGGUCUUUUUGGUUUACCAGAAGGGUUCUCGAGUGGCGAAAGGGCGAGGAAUGCAUGGGUAACGUACCUUGAGCAUGAGGAUAGCGGCGAGAAAUCUCCGGUAAUACUCAAUAAGACCACAGUGUCGUAUGGCACAGCGGUCAAAGGGUGGGGAUCCCCUCGGGGACCUACUGGCUCGAGAGCGGCCCAUGCCCUAUCAGCUUGUUGGUGAGGUAACGGCUCACCAAGGCUAUGACGGGUACCGGGACUGAGAGGUUGAUCCGGCGCAUCGGGACUGAGACACUGCCCGGACUCCUACGGGAGGCUGCAGUAACGAAUAUUCCGCAAUGGGCGCAAGCCUGACGGAGCGACGCCGCGUGCAGGAUGACCCCCCUCGGGGUGUAAACUGCUGUCAGGGCAUAGGAAGGGCUGUCUGCCUAAUACGUGGAUGGCUCGCUGGCAACCAAACCAGCUUACGACCCUGCCCAAAGGAAGCCACGGCUAACUUCGUGCCAGCAGCCGCGGUAAUACGAAGGUGGCAAGCGUUGUUCGGAAUCACUGGGCUUAAAGCGUAUGUAGGCGGCCUGUCAAGCGUCGAGUGAAAGCCCUCGGCUCAACCGAGGAAUGGCUUGGCGAACUGGUAGGCUUGAGGCAGGUAGGGGCGCGUGGAACUCUUGGUGGAGCGGUGGAAUGCGUAGAUAUCAAGAGGAACGCCGGCGGCGAAAGCGGCGCGCUGGGCCUGUCCUGACGCUGAGAUACGAAAGCCAGGGUAGCAAACGGGAUUAGAUACCCCGGUAGUCCUGGCCCUAAACGAUGUCCACUAGGUCGAAGGCGCUCUGACGCGGUUUUGGCCGGAACGAAAGCGUUAAGUGGACCGCCUGGGGAGUACGAUCGCAAGGCUAAAACUCAAAGGAAUUGACGGGGGCUCACACAAGCGGUGGAGCAUGUUGCUUAAUUCGAUUCAACGCGAAGAACCUUAUCCUGGGCUUGACAUGUAGGAGCCUCUCCCUGGAAACAGGAUAGAGUUUCCCUUCGGGGUGUAAGCCUACACAGGUGCUGCAUGGCUGUCGUCAGCUCGUGUCGUGAGAUGUUGGGUUAAGUCCCGUAACGAGCGAAACCCUUGUCGCUAGUGGCCAGCGCGUCAUGGCGGGGACUCUAGCGAGACUGCCGGUGUCAAACCGGAGGAAGGUGGGGAUGACGUCAAGUCCUCAUGGCCUUUAUGCCCAGGGCUGCAAACGUGCUACAAUGACCGGUACAGACCGACGCAAGACCGCGAGGUGGAGCAAAUCGGAAAAAACCGGCCCCAGUUCGGAUCGGAGUCUGCAACUCGACUCCGUGAAGGUGGAAUCGCUAGUAAUCGCGUAUCAGCUAUGGCGCGGUGAAUGUGUUCCUGAGCC
rnacentral:rRNA from 1 species